UUGUAGUUGUUGUGGUUCCUGCUGCAGUUGUUGUGGUUCCUGCACCGGUUGUUGUGGUUCCUGCACCGGUUGUUGUGGUUGUUGUGGUUCCUGCUGCAGUUGUUGUGGUUCCUGCAGCAGUUGUUGUGGUUCCUGCACCGGUUGUUGUGGUUCCUGCCCCAGUUGUUGUGGUUCCUGCCCCAGUUGCUGUGGUUCCUGCACCGGUUGUUGUGGUUCCUGCCGCAGUUGUUGUGGUUUCUGAACCAGUUGUUGUGGUUCCUGCCCCAGUUGCUGUGGUUCCUGCCCCAGUUGUUGUGGUUCCUGCCGCAGUUGUUGUGGUUUCUGCACCGGUUGUUGUGGUUCCUGCACCGGUUGUUGUGGUUCCUGCAGCAGUUGUUGUGGUUGUUGCAGCAGUUGCUGUGGUUGUUGCUGCAGUUGUUGUAGUUACUGCUGCAGCUGUUGUUGAUUCAGCAGUUGUUGUGGUUGUUGCUGCAGUUGUUGUAGUUACUGCUGCAGUUGUUGUGGUUCCUGCACCGGUUGUUGUGGUUCCUGCAGCAGUUGUUGUGGUUGUUGCAGCAGUUGCUGUGGUUGUUGCUGCAGUUGUUGUAGUUACUGCUGCAGCUGUUGUUGAUUCAGCAGUUGUUGUGGUUGUUGCUGCAGUUGUUGUAGUUACUGCUGCAGUUGUUGUGGUUCCCGCACCGGUUGUUGUGGUUCCUGCAGCAGUUGUUGUGGUUGUUGCUGCAGUUGUUGUAGUUACUGCUGCAGCUGUUGUUGAUUCAGCAGUUGUCGUGGUUGUUGCUGCAGUUGUUGUAGUUACUGCUGCAGUUGUUGAGGUUCCAGUAGUUGUUGUUGAUUCCGCAGUUGUUGUUGUUGGUUCAGCAGUUGUUGUUGAUGUUGUAUUCUCAGCACUUAUAGUUACAGGUACAGUAACAAGCAGUAUGGCCACUAUUUGUAAAGAGCAAAAGGAUUAUUGCAUGCAAAUCUAUAUCUAAGAGCUCUAUAUUUUAUGAUUAUAUUAUUAAUGUCAUACUUACGUGUAAUUAUCAGUAAUUUUGACGUAAACCCCAUUGUGUCUCUUCUUGAACCUAUAAUUUGUGACAGUACAAUGACUUUUUCUGGAUCACAGGAUGUAAACAGAACCCUAUAUCAACUUAAUGUUGACUUUGUCUCUUGAUUUUGUGUUUCAUAAUUAUUAAAUCUGUUUUUCUCACUCUUGAAUGUGCAGCUUCUCCUCUGUUUUGGAAUCAUUUCGCAAUUUCAAAUACAGUCUAAACAACAUCAUUGUAAAACAACAAGCAUUGUUCUCUUCAGUGUAUUAUCUGUGCCUGGAUUUGCACUGAUAGCUCAUGAAUGCAUUAUUUUCUAUUUUUGAAUUUUGCUUUGCUGCAAUGGGUAGGCGACCUGUCCAGGCGUACCCUGCCUCUCGCCCAUAGCCAGCAGGGAUACGCUCCAGCACCCCCGCGACCCCGCAUAUGGUAUUAAGUGGUAUGGAAAAUGGAUGGAUGGAUGGAAUUUUGCUUUGUUGUGUAAAAAACUAAAAACAUAAAUAAUGAGGAAGAGGUAAUCAGUGGAAAAAUGACUGUAUUUAUACAUGUUACUUAAUCAUUACUUUCUUGGUUCAGUGUUUUCAAAAAUUAUAAGAAAUUUAAAUUAAUAAAUAUAUUUUUAAAACCUAUUAUCA
ensembl:lncRNA